rnacentral:rRNA from 1 species
CAAUAGCGUAUAUUAAAGUUGUUGCAGUUAAAAAGCUCGUAGUUGGAUUUCGGGGCAGCCUGGCUGGUCCGCCGCAAGGCGAGUACUGGUCAGCCGCCCUUCCUCUCGAAAGCCCCGACUGCUCUUCGUUGCAGUGGUCGGGUAGUUCGGGACGUUUACUUUGAAAAAAUUAGAGUGUUCAAGGCAGGCCUACGCCUGAAUACAUUAGCAUGGAAUAAUGGAAGAGGACCUCGGUCCUAUUUUGUUGGUUUCCAGGGCCGAAGUAAUGAUUAAGAGGGACAGUUGGGGGCAUUCGUAUUUAAUUGUCAGAGGUGAAAUUCUCGGAUUUAUGAAAGACGAGCAACUGCGAAAGCAUUUGCCAAGGAUGCUUUCAUUAA